CGUCGCACGGGGAGCGCUGGCCCGGGGUGGCGGGGGGGGGGGGGGGGGGUGGCACGGCGGGGCCGCCCCGCUGGCUUUGCCCGCUAGAGGGCAAGAGAGCCCCGCACAAGCGCGGCGGGGCGGCUGCCCCUGCCCCGCAGCCCGCCGAGCCCAGCCGCGCACGGCCGCGGGGGGCUCCGGACACGCGGGGAGCGGCACGGCACGGCACGGCACGGCACGGCCCGCAGCCGGGCGAGGAGCCCCCCGCGGAGGGGCCUCCUGGAGCCGGCGGGGGGCCUGAGGCCUUCUGCUGGGCACCGGGAGGCGCGGGAGGAAAGGUGCUAGAUGGCCACGGUGCCGUGGAUGGAGAGGCAAUCGCUUCCACGGGGAAAGCGAGCGAGGCCUUCGGUUGUUCCAGUAAAGCGGGCGUGGGGCCGUCACGGAGCUGGCACAGACCACCUUCUCCAUCAGGGUGAAGGCUCACCGGGCUGCCGCGCCUGCCCCAGCGCAGGCAGAGGGAUAGUGAACUAUCUACAAAGGAAGUAUUAUCAAGCAAAGGAAGAACCUCAGGGACACCCUGCAGCCUGCUGCCAAACCCUGCUGAGCCUGCAGUUGCAAAUGAGCACCAACAGUAUGGGAGCAUGAAGAAGGCAGAAACCUCUUUGAUUAAACACCGCGCAUGCUUGGGCAGGGAAGGUGCACAAGGCAAAGGGUGGGCAGUGGCAGACCCGUUCUCACAGCGAGCACUCCUGUGAGCCCUGCCACACAAAUCGCCUGCCAGGCGGAGGCCCCUGUGAGCGCCUGCACACAUGGCAACGCUGAUUUCUUCCCCUUUUCUCCUUCUAAUCAAUGGCACUUUGGCUCUUGAGCUGGAGGGACUUGCAACAUCAUGGACGAUCGGUUCAUUACUAAAACCAGCAGAUACAAGCCAUGUACAAAUACAUGCAUCAGAUAAAUUUUUAAACAUAUUUGGCAGCUUGCACACUUACAUCACCCUAUCUACCUUCAAGUAUCACCAACACGGACAUGCAUUCCUAAAGACUGUAUCAACACCUGUGUGAAUGCACUCGACUGUAUCUGACCCACAACAGCAUUAUUACUUUUGUACUUAAAUUAAGAUAUCUUAAAACAUGUAGCCUGCUAACUCCCUCCCUAGGAUGGUCACAAAGAUCAUAUUCUGCCAGUGCUUAUUUAACAGAGAUUCACUAAUUUCUAUAUGCGGCAAAACACCAUAAUGCCAUAAUAAAUUCAUGUCAGAUA